GCUUCUUAUACACUGUAGCCGUAUAUACGUAAGCAGCUUUGUUAAUACUGUCAGUUUUUCCUAUAACCGUUAUAGUCCCGAGAGAUAAAAAAUGAGAACGUGUGAAUUAUUCAUUGUCUUCCUUUUAAUGGGAUCAGUGUUUGAUUGUGAUGGUGGAAAAACGUCUCUUCAAGACAUUUUGAAAAGAAGUAUUGAUAAUAAUCCGAUAAAAUUGAGAGAUGGUAGCCGUUCAAGAAACAAUGGUAUAUACAACACCGGACCAAAAAUUCGCUGUCCAGAGAGGAACUGUCCAAGAGGAUAGACCUAACAUCAACUUAACUCUAGAUCCUGUUGAAUUCCAAUGUUUGAAUACACCGAAGAGGAAUACGCGUACGGCUAGAAUGUUCUUUCAAAACAACUCCCAAGAUGUUCAUUUAAACAGAAUAAAAUUCAUCAUACUGCU